rnacentral:lncRNA from 1 species
GGUCGUUGAUAGUGUCCCGACCCCUGGCACGCAUCCCGAGGAUGUUGGAGUGGGACUUGGCACCAAAAUUCCAAAAUCGGAAUUUUUGGACAGCUCUCGGGUAGCCUGCAGCAGGGCUUGUACCGGAACAAGACUGGCCUUGUACCGGUACAAGGGUUGAUGGUUGUACCGGUACAGCCAUCGGGCUUGUACCGGUACAGAGCCGCAGACCGCGCGACCCGAGCCUCGGGUUUGCAAUUUCGUCGGCCUUGUACCGGUACAAGAGCCCGUGUACCGGUACAAGGAGGCAGAUUUCGUGCAGUUUGUUCUGCAGGGGUGUUUUUGCUAUUGUAGCAAUACUAUAACAGCACCCACGCCCCUAGGGCUCUUCUUUGAGCUUGCCACUGCAGGGAGCAAGGUAAGGAGAGCUUCUCUUUGCUUCUCUUUGGUUUUAAUCUCCCUCUAGCCUAGAUUUUGAAGGAUUAAUCCCUUUUCUUUCCUCUUUUAUGCUUCUCCACCAUUGAUGGAGCUAGAAGCUUGGAUUUGGAGCUAAGUGGAGGAUAGAUCUUGGGAUUUAAAGGAUUUAGAGCUUGNUUCGCUUAGAGUAUCGAUGAAAACCAGGGAAGAAAACUCCAAGCGAAGCGAAGAUCAAAUCGACAUAUAGAUAUGAAAUUCCAAUAUCUCGAUUUGGCCUAAAAGAGGCUAAUAUGUAGAAAAUAGGUUUUAGAUGAAAUCCGAGCCUCUAGGGUUUCUCAAAUAUGUAUUUUCGUGAUGCUUUUUCAGUUAGAGAACCCUAAUAGCUUAUUUAUAAACUUUAGAAUGAAACGGAGUCAGAUUAGAAAGUUUUUUUCGAAAUUUGCAUUGUGUACCGGUACACGUGAGGCUGUCACCGGUAUACGAUGACGGAACAGAAAAUCUUACAUUGUGUACCGGUACAUGUUGAUGGUUGUACCUGUACACAGUUUGUAACCGGUAACAUGUUGAUGGUUGUACCCGUACACAGUUUGUAACAGGUAACACUUUCAAUGUGUACCCGUGUAAUACACUGGAUCUUAGCAAAUCGCAAGAUUCGAGUGUUUGAUCUGUGUUUGGAGCUUUCCCACAGUUUUUGGAGGGUCGUUGAUAGUGUCCCGACCCCUGGCACGCAUCCCGAGGAUGUUGGAGUGGGACUUGGCACCAAAAUUCCAAAAUCGAAAUUUUUGGACAGCUCUCGGGUAGCCUGCAGCAGGGCUUGUACCGGAACAAGACUGGCCUUGUACCGGUACAAGGGUUGAUGGUUGUACCGGUACAGCCAUCGGGCUUGUACCGGUACAGAGCCGCAGACCGCGCGACCCGAGCCUCGGGUUUGCAAUUUCGUCGGCCUUGUACCGGUACAAGAGCCCGUGUACCGGUACAAGGAGGCAGAUUUCGUGCAGUUUGUUCUGCAGGGGUGUUUUUGCUAUUGUAGCAAUACUAUAACAGCACCCACGCCCCUAGGGCUCUUCUUUGAGCUUGCCACUGCAGGGAGCAAGGUAAGGAGAGCUUCUCUUUGCUUCUCUUUGGUUUUAAUCUCCCUCUAGCCUAGAUUUUGAAGGAUUAAUCCCUUUUCUUUCCUCUUUUAUGCUUCUCCACCAUUGAUGGAGCUAGAAGCUUGGAUUUGGAGCUAAGUGGAGGAUAGAUCUUGGGAUUUAAAGGAUUUAGAGCUUGAUUUGAAGCUUCUAAGAGGUAAGCAUUACACUAUCUUCCUCUAGAUUUGAGUUUCAUUGGAUUUCAUGAGAUGAAACCCUAGAUUGUGAUAUUAGGGUUUAUUUUGGGCAUUUUGAAUUUAGGGCUUUUGAAGCUAGAU